GCGGAAAUAUAUAUAUAUAUAUAUUAUAUAAGGUAGUCGGCUUUAUCGAGGGAAGAAAUUCCUCGGUAAUUCACUGGAACACUUUUCCUGCGAAUUACCGAAGACUUUUCCCUCGAAAAAAAAAUUCAAACUUCACCGUUCGCUGUGAUCGGGUUGACCAGCUCUAGUCCUCUCUCUCCCUGCAUGUCUGUCCUCUUCUUUCCCUGUCUUCUCCCUGCCUGUCGUCCUCCCUCAUCAGUCUCUCCUCCUACAAUGUUUCAAGAGAGUCACGGGGAGCUAGCUCCAGCUGCUGCUGCCCUCGCUCUCCGACAAACAGAGGUGUGCUUCGUGCACGAGCUCGCCGAUGUUUCGUAGCAGCAUUCGAGUGGUCCUUCUCGACCCUUAAGUGGCCUCGACCUUGACCUCCCUCUCUCUCUCUCUCCAUGCACAGAUAUGCGAGCUGCGUUCAGCGGGGUUCCCUGUAGAUCCAAAACCAAGCAAAUGCAACACAUUCCGGCCGAGAUCGAGAGAGCUAACUAACUAGCGGAGAUCUGCUAGCAGAUCGGAGAGAGCGACCAGAGCGGUUGAGAGAGAGACCAGAGAGACAGGCUAAAGAGAGCGACUGGAGAUCAUGCUCCCCUAAGAUCCGACGUCGACAUGUCAGAGACCGAUUUUCUUGCUUCGUAUCUUAAGCUCGACAUUAUAUAGAGGUUGAUUGAGCCUAAUGACAGACCCUCAAGUUCAACAACAAUUGAACAUGAAUUUUAUGGAGUCAGAUCAUCUGGAAGGGUCAAAUUGGGCGAUGAAUUGAAUAGGUACAGGGACAUUAUCUAUGACGUGGUUAGGGAGGAUUAUGGCCAUUCUGUCUUCUGAAGAUCAUCCUAAUGCAGAGGCUGAGGGGUUCUACGACCUUUUGGGAAUGUACUUACGUCUGGAGUUUGUCAGGGGUGUUAAAUUGAAGUUAUUCCUACGUAGCAUGCAUGACGAGUAGGUUCAUGAUGUGAUUAGUAAAAGGUGGACAAAUAGAAAUGCUUGUUUAAGACAACGUGAUAUGUUUGUACUGCAUGGAGAAUCUGAUGUGGUGUGUUAAGAGUAAAAAAUUCUACACGAAAAAA